AUCUAGUGGCGCACGGGUGCGUAACGCGUGGGAAUCUGCCCUUGGGUUCGGAAUAACAGCGGGAAACUGCUGCUAAUACCGGAUGAUGACGAAAGUCCAAAGAUUUAUCGCCCAAGGAUGAGCCCGCGUAGGAUUAGGUAGUUGGUGGGGUAAAGGCCUACCAAGCCUACGAUCCUUAGCUGGUCUGAGAGGAUGAUCAGCCACACUGGGACUGAGACACGGCCCAGACUCCUACGGGAGGCAGCAGUAGGGAAUAUUGGACAAUGGGGGCAACCCUGAUCCAGCAAUGCCGCGUGAGUGAUGAAGGCCUUAGGGUUGUAAAGCUCUUUUACCCGGGAUGAUAAUGACAGUACCGGGAGAAUAAGCCCCGGCUAACUCCGUGCCAGCAGCCGCGGUAAUACGGAGGGGGCUAGCGUUGUUCGGAAUUACUGGGCGUAAAGCGCACGUAGGCGGCGAUUUAAGUCAGAUGUGAAAGCCCGGGGCUCAACCCCGGAACUGCCUUUGAGACUGGAUUGCUAGAAUCUUGGAGAGGCGGGUGGAAUUCCGAGUGUAGAGGUGAAAUUCGUAGAUAUUCGGAAGAACACCAGUGGCGAAGGCGGCCCGCUGGACAAGUAUUGACGCUGAGGUG
rnacentral:rRNA from 1 species